rnacentral:rRNA from 1 species
GACGAACGCUGGCGGCGUGCUUAACACAUGCAAGUCGAACGGAAAGGCCCUGCUUUUGUGGGGUGCUCGAGUGGCGAACGGGUGAGUAACACGUGAGUAACCUGCCCUUGACUUUGGGAUAACUUCAGGAAACUGGGGCUAAUACCGGAUAGGAGCUCCUGCUGCAUGGUGGGGGUUGGAAAGUUUCGGCGGUUGGGGAUGGACUCGCGGCUUAUCAGCUUGUUGGUGGGGUAGUGGCUUACCAAGGCUUUGACGGGUAGCCGGCCUGAGAGGGUGACCGGCCACAUGGGGACUGAGAGACGGCCCAGACUCCUACGGGAGGCAGCAGUGGGGAAUAUUGCACAAUGGGCGGAAGCCUGAUGCAGCAACGCCGCGUGCGGGAUGACGGCCUUCGGGUUGUAACCGCUUUCGCCUGUGACGAAGCGUGAGUGACGGUAAUGGGUAAAGAAGCACCGGCUAACUACGUG